rnacentral:rRNA from 1 species
AGCGAACGCUGGCGGCAGGCCUAACACAUGCAAGUCGAAUGAACUCUUCGGAGUUAGUGGCGGACGGGUGAGUAACACGUGGGAACGUGCCUUUAGGUUCGGAAUAACUCAGGGAAUCUUGUGCUAAUACCGAAUGUUGCCUUCGGGGGAAAGAUUUAUCGCCUUUAGAGCGGCCUGCGUCUGAGUAGCUAGUUGGUGAGGUAAAGGCUCACCAAGGCGACGAUCAGUAGCUGGUCUGAGAGGAUGAUCAGCCACAUUGGGACUGAGACACGGCCCAAACUCCUACGGGAGGCAGCAGUGGGGAAUCUUGCGCAAUGGGCGAAAGCCUGACGCAGCCAUGCCGCGUGAAUGAUGAAGGUCUUAGGAUUGUAAAAUUCUUUCACCGGGGACGAUAAUGACGGUACCCGGAGAAGAAGCCCCGGCUAACUUCGUGCCAGCCGCCGCGGUAA